AAUAUACAAACCAUCACACCCCCUUUAAUUGUUUCUUAAGAGGAUUUAUGUGUGUGUCUGUGUGUGUGUGUAUGCACAUGUAUGUGUGUCAGAAUCCAUGGAAGUCAGAAAAGGAUAUUCAGAGCCUUUGUCAUUGGAGUUAAAGGCAUUUGUGACCUGCCUGUUGUAGGUGCUAGGAUCCCCUCUGACAGAGCCAGCACUCGACCUGCUGAGCCAUCUUGUCAGCCUUUGAUUAUUUUGUGGGGACGGUUCUCACUUUUUACCCAGGUCACCACCUGGAACUUAGUGUGUAGCCUAGUCUGACCUCAAACUUGUGGCUAACUAACCCUGUUGUCAGCCUCCUGAGUGUGAGGAUUAUAUGCGUGACCUAACAUGUCUAGCAGGUUCAAUCUUAGAACAUGCUAGAGAAGUGUUCAGGCUCAUGUGCUAUUGGAGCAUCUACUCAAAGAAGACCAAGAGUAGAGGAAAUCUGGAAUGUCUAAACGCUGAUUCCUGUUUGAUGUAAAAAACUGGAUUUCAUGUAGAUGUGGCUGGCUUUAAAAAUCCUAAAACUGGCUUCAAAUUCUUGACCCCUUGCCUUCAGCUACCACGUGCUAGGAUUACAGCAGUGAGCCACCAUGCCUUUCACCAACAGAAUUUACUAAAUAGAGAGUGCAGUCAUGGAAUUGCCAUUUUCCCCACGUGGUUUUUCGUUUGUUCCUCACCGGAGGCCUCCGGUUUGAGCCCGAAGUCUAAACCGGUGCGCGUCUGCGAGCUCGCGUGCGCCUCCGCGGCCGGAGCACAGUCGCGGGCGGGCAUCAGGGCGGUGCGUGGCCGUCAGUGACGCAUGACCCUUCGCAGGCAGAAGUGGGACGGGUCAAGAGAGGACUGUGAUCCGAUUGGCUGUUCGGCGACCGUAUGCUAAUCGCGGUGACAGUCUGCGUGGUGUAGGGACACGGUAGCGACUCAAAAUGCCCCGUGGACGGGGUCUGGAGAGGUGUCGGUCUGUCAGAGAAGGUGUCCCCGCGAGGGCAGACGCGGUGUGAGAUAGAGGCGCGGACAGGGAUGUCACGGGUCGUCUGUGCGUCAGUCGCCGUGACUAAGAUGUGGGGGCGGCCGGUGCAGUGCGGCGCGGUGUGGAGCGUGAGGUUAAGACUAUACUUUCAGGGAUCAUUUCUAUAGUUCGUUACUAGAGAAGUUUCUCUGACUGUGUAGAGCACCCGAAACCACGAGGACGAGACGUAGCGUUCCCUCCUGAGCGUGAAGCCGGCUCUAGGUGCUGCUUGACUGCAGCUGCCUCCUGCCAUUGAUGAUCGUUCUUCCCUCCUUUGGGAGGGUGAGAGGGAGGGAACGCAGUCUGAGUGGACUC